rnacentral:rRNA from 1 species
GACGAACGCUGGCGGCGUGCCUAACACAUGCAAGUCGAGCGAAUGAAGUUCCUUCGGGAACGGAUUUAGCGGCGGACGGGUGAGUAACACGUGGGCAACCUGCCUCAUAGAGGGGAAUAGCCUUCCGAAAGGGAGAUUAAUACCGCAUAAGAUUGUAGUACCGCAUGGUACAGCAAUUAAAGGAGCAAUCCGCUGAGAGAUGGGCUCGCGUCCGAUUAGUUAGUUGGUGAGGUAACGGCUCACCAAGACUACGAUCGGUAGCCGGACUGAGAGGUUGAUCGGCCACAUUGGGACUGAGACACGGCCCAGACUCCUACGGGAGGCAGCAGUGGGGGAUAUUGCGCAAUGGGGGAAACCCUGACGCAGCAACGCCGCGUGAAGGAAGAAGGUCUUCGGAUUGUAAACUUCUUUUGUCAGGGACGAAGAAAGUGACGGUACCUGACGAAUAAGCUCCGGCUAACUACGUG